GCAGAGUAAAAAGCCGCGCGUAAAGUGCCGCCGGAACGGGGAGUUGUCCGGCGGACGAAAAGAAAGCGCUUCUUGCGGUGCGGCUUUUGCAUCCCGCUGC
rnacentral:ncRNA from 1 species